AAUUGAGCUGGAGAAAAGGGCAAUCCACCUCCUAGUGGGGGAAGGUAAGGAGCUGCAACGGAUGAAGUCUUUGAAUGUUCUGGGGAAAUCUCCUCCAAAUGGUUCGUCGAAGCAGGCUCCCUUGCAGCGGUAGUGGUAGAACUGAGAUGCCUGAAGAAAUCUGUAGAGCUAAGUAAGAUGUGCUCAAUGCUCAUGUAAACAUUGCGGAAAGGACAUGUUCUGCUGAUGUAAUAACUUUUUUUUUCAGUCAUAUAAGGGUUCUCCUUUGACGUGCAAUUCAUUUUUUUUCUCUUACCUACUCACAAUUGUGCCGUGUGUUUGUUGUAAUAUGAUGUAAUUAUAUGACUAACUUGUCAAGGUCUAACUGUUUAUACUUUA